rnacentral:rRNA from 1 species
GACGAACGCUGGCGGCGUGCUUAACACAUGCAAGUCGAACGGAAAGGCCCUGCUUUUGUGGGGUGCCCGAGUGGCGAACGCGUGAGUAACACGUGAGUAACCUGCCCUUGACUUUGGGAUAACUUCAGGAAACUGGGGCUACUACCGGAUAGGAUCUCCUGCUCCAUGGUGGGGGGUGGAACGUUUCGGCGGUUGGGGAUGGACUCGCGGCUUAUCAGCUUGUUGGUGGGGUAGUGGCUUACCCAGUCUGUGACGGGUAGCCGGCCUGAGAGGGUGAACGGCCACAAUGGGACUGCGAGACGGCGCAGAGUCGUACGGGAGGCAGCGGUGGGGAGUAUUGCACAAUGAGCGGAAGCCUGAUGCAGAGGCGCCGCGUGCGUGAUGACGGCCUGCGGGUUGUAAACCGCUGUCGCCUGAGACGAAGCGUGAGUGACGGUAAUGGGUAAAGAAGCACCGGCUAACUACGUG